NNNNNNNNNNNNNNNNNNNNNNNNNNNNNNNNNNNNNNNNNNNCCCCCCCCCACCAAUUCCCAGUUCAUCCCAGUGACCUUCCCAGUUCAUCCCAGUGCUCCCAGUUCAUCCCAGUGACCUUCCCAGUUCAUCCCAGUGCUCCCAGUUCAUCCCACUGCCCCUCCCAGUUCAUCCCAGUGCUCUCAGUGCCGACUCCAGUGCUCCCAGUUGAUCCCAGUUCAUCCCGGAGCCCUUCCCAGUGCUCCCAGUUCAUCCCAGUUGAUCCCCGUUCAUCCCAGUGCCCACCCUCAAUGCUCCCAGUUCAUCCCAGUUGAUCCCAGUGCCCCGUCCAGUGCUCCCAGUUCAUCCCAGUGCCCACCUUCAGUGUUCCCAGUCCUCCCAGUUCAUCCCAGUGCCCACCCUCCAGUGCCUCCAGUUUAUCCCAGUGCUCCCUUCAGUGUUCCCAGUUCAUCCCAGUGGCUCCUCCAGGGCUCCCAGUUCAUCCCACUGCUCCCAGUCACUCCCCCAGUGCUCCCAGUUCAUCCCAGUUCAUUCCAGUGCUCUUCCCAGUUCAUCCCAGUGCUCCUAGUUCGUCCCAGUGCCCACCCUCAGAGCUCCCAGUUCAUCCCAGUUCAUCCCAGUGCCCCUCCCAGUUCAUCCCAGUUCAUCCCAGUUCAUCCCAGUUCAUCCCGGUUCAUACCAGUGCCCCUCCCAGUUCAUCCCAGUGGUCCCAGUGCCCCCUCCAGUGCUUCCAGUUCAUCCCAGUGCUCCUCCCAGUUCAUCCCAGUGCCCCCUCCAGUGCUCCCAGUUCAUCCCAGUUGAUCCCAGUUCAUCCCGGUGCCCCUCCCAGGGCUCCCAGUUCAUCCCAGUGCCCACCACCAGUGCUCCCAGUUCAUCCCAGUGCUCUCAGUGCCGACUCCAGUGCUCCCAGUUCAUCCCAGUUCAUCCCAGUGCCCACCAUCAAUGCUCCCAGUUAAUCCCAGUUCAUCCCAGUUCAUCCAGGUGCCCCUCCCAGUGCUCCCAGUUGAUCCCAGC
rnacentral:lncRNA from 1 species